CCAUCUGGUUGGAACUCACGAUAGAGGAACUGUAUCAUAUGUUAACUGCACCUAGAGAUUCAUCUUUUAUUUUGCUAGAUUGCCACUACAUAUUGCUAGGUGUCAUUGGUAGAUUGUGAGAUUCACAAGUAUCAUCUUGAUGAUCAAAGAUCCUUGGUGAGCAGAGUUGGAAUUGUUCCAAUCUAUUGAAAAUAGUUUUAAUGAUAUUGUGAUAGAGAUCAUAAUAUAUCUUACUACCUGAUAGAAUAGAACCUAUGGGGUUACAUACAAAAAAAGUUUUUGACUGAUC
rnacentral:lncRNA from 1 species